GGGCAUUUGGUCUAGUGGUAUGAUUCAUGCUUUGAGUGCGAGAGGUCCCAAAUUCAAUUUUCGGAAUGACCC
rfam:Solanum lycopersicum cultivar Heinz 1706 chromosome 10, whole genome shotgun sequence.